rnacentral:rRNA from 1 species
AGCGCGGGUGCGAGUCAGAGGGUGCAAGCCCGUGGGCGAAGUGAAAGCGAGUUUAAAAACGAGCAGUUUGGGGCGGCAUAAGAUCGUUGAUCUUAAGACUGACCCAGAGCAGUUGCGCUGGGACCCGAAAGGUGGUGAACUAUGCCUGAGUAGGGCAAAGCCAGAGGAAACUCUGGUGGAGGCUCGUAGCGGUGCUGACGUGCAAAUCGCUCGUCGAACUUGGGUAUAGGGGCGAAAGACUAAUCGAACCAUCUAGUAGCUGGUUCCCUCCGAAGUUUCUCUCAGGAUAGCGGGCCGACAAGUUGUUUUGUGCGGUAAAGCGAAUGAUUAGCGCAUUUGGGGGCGUUUAGCCUUCGGGCGAUUCUCAAACUUUCAAUGCGCAAGGGUGCCGCUGCUUAAUUGAGCGGUACCGGUAAAAACGUCGACCCAGUGGGCCACUUUUGGUAAGCAGAACUGGCGAUACGGGAUGAACCGUAAGCAAGGUUAAGGCGCCAAACUGCCCGCUUAUAGAUCCCACAAAAGGUGUUGAUUCAUCGAGACAGCAGGACGGUGGCCAUGGAAGUCGGAAUCCGCCAAGGAGUGUGUAACAACUCACCUGCCGAAUGAAUUAGCCCUGAAAAUGGAUGGCGCUGAAGCGGGCGGCCGACACCUUGCCGUCUGAACAAGAAUUUCAGAUGAGUAGGAGGGCGUGGCGAUCGUGUCGAAGCACGCGUGCAGACGCAUGUGGAACGGUCGCUAGUGCAGAUCUUGGUGGUAGUAGCAAGUAUUCAAGCGAGAUCCUUGAAGGGCGAAGUGGGGAAGGGUUUCACGCGAACAUUGAUUGGGCGUGAGUGAGUCGUUCCUAAGCCGCGUGGCAAUUGCUAAUUACCGGCGAAAGGGAAGCGGGUUGACAUUCCCGCACACGGAUGUGGAGGCGGCGACGCAUUAUUGGGGCGAACACGCUGGCGAUGGCGCUGGGCAGAGUUGUCUUUUCUGUUUGACCGCUUGCGCACGCAGUGUGGAAUCCUCUUGUAGGGAGAAACACGCGUGUACGGGCAGAGCGCUGGGGCUUUUCCAGCGUCCAGCUCGCCAUCGACGGCCCUUGAAACUUUGCCUGCUG